rnacentral:rRNA from 1 species
ACUCCUACGGGAGGCAGCAGUGGGAAUCUUAGACAAUGGGGGAAACCCUGAUCUAGCCAUGCCGCGUGAGCGAUGAAGGCCUUAGGGUUGUAAAGCUCUUUCAGCUGGGAAGAUAAUGACGGUACCAGGCAGAAGAAGCCCCGGCUAACUUCCGUGCCAGCAGCCGCGGUAAAUACGGAGGGGCGUAGCGUUGUUCGGAAUUACUGGGCGUAAAGCGCACGUAGGCGGAUUGGUAAGUUGGGGGUGAAAUCCCGGGGCUCAACCCCGGAACUGCCUCCAAAACUCCCAGUCUUGAGGUCGAGAGAGGUGAGUGGAAUUCCGAGUGUAGAGGUGAAAUUCGUAGAUAUUCGGAGGAACGACCAGUGGCGAAGGCGGCUCACUGGCUCGAUACUGACGCUGAGGUGCGAAAGCGUGGGGAGCAAACCAGG